GAUGAAGAACGUAGCGAAAUGCGAUAAGUAAUGUGAAUUGCAGAAUUCAGUGAAUCAUCGAAUCUUUGAACGCACAUUGCGCCCCUUGGUAUUCCGAGGGGCAUGCCUGUUCGAGCGUCAUUAUAACCCUCAAGCUCAGCUUGGUGUUGGGGCCUGCUGCACUGGCAGCCCUUAAAAUCAGUGGCGGCGCCAUCUGGCUCUAAGCGUAGUAAUCCUUCUCGCUAUGGAGUCCUGGUGGAUGCUUGCCAUCAACCCCCAAUUUUUCUAUGGUUGACCUCGGAUCAGGUAGGGAUACCCGCUGAACUUAAGCAUAUCAAUAAGCGGAGGA
rnacentral:misc_RNA from 1 species